rnacentral:ncRNA from 2 species
CAGGCCAUACUGUGCUGCCGCC